rnacentral:rRNA from 1 species
AUUGAACGCUGGCGGCAGGCCUAACACAUGCAAGUCGAACGGUAACAGGAAGCGGCUUGCUGCUUUGCUGACGAGAGGCGGACGGGUGAGUAAUGUCUGGGAAACUGCCUGAUGGAGGGGGAUAACUACUGGAAACGGUAGCUAUUACCGCAUAACGUCGCAACACCAAAGAGGGGGACCUUCGCGCCUCUUGCCCUCGUAUGUGCCCAGAUGGGAUUAGCUAGUAGGUGGGGUAACGGCUCACCUAGGCGACGAUCCGUAGCUGGUCUGAGAGGAUGAUCAGCCACACUGGAACUGAGACACGGUCCAGACUCCUACGGGAGGCAGCAGUGGGGAAUAUUGGACAAUGGGCGCAAGCCUGAUGCAGCCAUGCCGCGUGUAUGAAGAAGGCCUUCGGGUUGUAAAGUCCUUUUAGCGGGGAAGAAGAGAGUAAAGUUAAUACCUUGCCUCAUUGACGUUACCCGAAGAAGAAGCACCGGCUAACUCCGUG